rnacentral:rRNA from 1 species
GACGAAGGAUGCAAGCGUUAUCCGGAUUUAUUGGGUUUAAAGGGUGCGUAGGCGGCUUAUUAAGUCAGGGGUGAAAGACGGUGGCUCAACCAUCGCAGUGCCUUUGAUACUGAUGAGCUUGAAUGAACUAGAGGUAGGCGGAAUGUGACAAGUAGCGGUGAAAUGCAUAGAUAUGUCACAGAACACCGAUUGCGAAGGCAGCUUACUAUGGUUUUAUUGACGCUGAGGCACGAAAGCGUGGGGAUCAAACAGG